CAAAUUAAAUUUUAGAAAAAUAGUGUGCCAUUACCUUUUAAUUUGUUGUCCCCUUCUUGUCUGUCGUGCGCACGCCGACCCUAGCAACCUCCUUCGUAGCCUCGUAACAUUUGCCCUUCAUCUCCGGCGUCGUGUCUUCCCUUCAUCUCUGAGUUGUAGUGCUCUGAACAUACUCCAUUGUCGACUCUGUCUGUCAAACUAUACCGUUUUGCAAAUCAUCGAACGAUAGCGUGUUCAUUUCCUUUUCUUUCACUAUGUUAUGACAGAGAUAGGUCUCUUAAAAAGGUAGGCACAAACACAAAUUACAAAGAGAUAGGCCUUGUGCUCUACUGUUAUCUCAUACUUGUGUGCCAUGGCUCCUUAAGCUUAUGAUAAGCUUAUAUAUCCUCUCAGACCCAUGAAUUUUAUCAGUUGGCAUCAGUGGCAUUCUGCCUACUUGUUGCUUGGGUGUGUCUUCUACUUGUGUGUAAAAUCUUUGAAUUCUAGGACUUGAACAACUUUGAUAGUGAGCUUGAAGAGUUUGCCAGAAUAUUCUACAAGGUAUACCUUGUUUCCUUGUUUUCUCAUUGUCACAGUUUGACACUGGCUUCUCAUGGACGAGAAAAUAUCAAGUUGAGGAGUUCCAUCAUUCAAGUUCCUUGUUUCCUUGUUAGCUAUACCAGAAAAUGUUAUUAUUAUUAUUAUUAUUAUUAUUA